CACCGCCCGUCACACCAUGGGAGUUUGUUGCACCAGAAGCAGGUAGCUUAACCUUCGGGAGGGCGCUUGCCACGGUGUGGCCGAUGACUGGGGUG
rnacentral:rRNA from 1 species